UAUAAAUCUGCAGAUUGAAGAGCCUCCCCAUGUCUCCCUCAAUGUGGGACCCAGUCUCUCACUAAUGGAGGGUAACAAGAGGAAGAUUGUGUGUGAGGCAAACAGCUACUACCCUCGGGAUGUGGAGAUAAUUUGGCACGAGCAGGAUCCAGUCGUGUUGGGCGCUCCACAUCCCAGGUCACUGGAGAAUGUCAUCCUUUCCUACCACAGAGAAAAUCGGGACAUGACCUUCUCGUUGUCGGGCUUCUUCUACCUCCAGGCUGCGCUCAGGGACUCUGGGAAAAAGUUCACAUGCAGCGUCUCCCAUCAGUCCCUGAAAGUACCCAUCACAAAGAGCUUCACCCUAAUUGUGGAAGAGCCAACAAACUGGAUGUUGUACCUCGCUGUGGGCUCUGUUAUGAUCCUGCUGUUGUAUGUGAAGCGGAGCUACCUGCACUCAGCAUGGAGAAAGUUAGCAGGUAAGGUGAUAUAAAAACAAACAAACUGGAGGACUGGGAACGGAGCGAGAGGAUGUGGCCCCAUUCUCAACACACAAGGCAAGCUGGCAAACUUUCCUUUCUGGGGUCCCCAUGGAAACAUCAGUGAAAGGUGGAUUUGUGUUGAUGUGUAAA